UACGUAUGGAGCAAGCGUUAUCCGGAUUUACUGGGUGUAAAGGGAGCGCAGGCGGUCUGGCAAGUCUGAUGUGAAAGGCCGGGGCUCAACUCCGGGACUGCAUUGGAAACUGUCAGACUGGAGUGUUGGAGAGGUAAGCGGAAUUCCUAGUGUAGCGGUGAAAUGCGUAGAUAUUAGGAGGAGCACCAGUGGCGAAGGCGGCUUACUGGACGAUGACUGACGCUGAGGCUCGAAAGCGUGGAGAGCAAACAGG
rnacentral:rRNA from 1 species